ACCAGAAGGGCGCGGUGCUCGAACUCUCCGGCCACCAGACCGGACUGAUGGCGAACGCGGACCUGAGCGGACUGGCGAUCACGCUGAAGUAAGCGCAGGUCACGCGCGGCGCUUGGUGAAAAGGAAAAGGCCGGACACACGUCCGGCCUUUUGUUUGAUAUCGCUUGUUCUGCUUCGCAAGGCCGCUGCUACUUCUUGUCCUUGCGAUGCUUCUUUUUCUUCUUGUGAUGAUCGUCUUCAUCAUCCUCAUCACCGUCAUCG
rnacentral:misc_RNA from 1 species